rfam:Canis lupus familiaris chromosome 35, whole genome shotgun sequence.
CCAAAGGCUCUUUUCAGAGCCACCCACUUAACUCAACAGAAGUGCU